GGCACAUUAAUAUAACGGUAGUAUAACAGCCUUCCAAGCUGUAAGCCUGGGGUUCGACUCCCAGAUGUGUCA
rnacentral:tRNA from 1 species